UACGUAGGGUGCAAGCGUUGUCCGGAAUUAUUGGGCGUAAAGAGCUCGUAGGCGGUUUGUCGCGUCGAAUGUGAAAACCCGGGGCUCAACCCCGGGCCUGCAUUCGAUACGGGCAGACUAGAGUUCGGUAGGGGAGUCUGGAAUUCCUGGUGUAGCGGUGAAAUGCGCAGAUAUCAGGAAGAACACCCGUGGCGAAGGCGGCUUUCUGGGACGGUACUGACGCUGAGACGCGAAAGCGUGGGGAGCGAACAGG
rnacentral:rRNA from 1 species